UUGGUUAUUUGUCAUUUGAUUCACUGUUUUACGAAAUCAAAAAUUUCUCAGUGAUGCAUGCCCCCUGGGACUCGUCAAGAACAUUCUCAAUCUAGCCACGAAUUAUUCAAUCACCUCCCUCUGGCACAAGUUUUACAUUUCUACCUGGAGUAACACACAAUAUAAUAUGGACAUUUAAUGAUAGUGAAAGUGAUUUGCAAUUUAGAGAUUGGUAUUUCGCUGGUAGUAGUAAUGGUUCACGACAUACACUUUUGGCCACUGUCUGUGAAGGGUGCUGUAUCAAAGUUAAGUGCACCAACUCUUUUAAAUUAUGACGUCUACAAACCUUCAACACUGCAAUUAAGAAAUAUCACUCAUAGUUAUGAUGGAACGUAUGAGUUUCAAUUAGCAAGAAAGGACAAUCCGUUUUCUCCUUUUGUAUCCAAAGUCAGAGUUUUCGUUGCAAUGAAACCAAAUGUUUUAAUUAGUUGCUCAAAUCCUCUGGUUGUGAAUAUAGGUGAUAGUGUGUCAUGUGUAUGUAGAGGUGAAGGAGGUAACCCUC